rnacentral:misc_RNA from 1 species
AAAUGAUACAAGUAGUUUUUACAGUACCUACACAAUAUGUAGAAGCUAGAAAAGAGAUCCAAUUGCAACCUGCUUCAACAAACUUAUUACAUAUUGUAAAGCAUCUUCACAUGAUUUCUUAACUACUAUGGAACUCGAUACAUGAUUAAAACCAUAAUUUCUACAAAAUACAAAGUAAAGACUGCGUCUUGAACCCACUGACCUUAAGACUGUUUCAACUUUGAACAACACAUACAACAUGAGGAACCUUCUCAUUGUCAAAAGGCAAGUAGACAUACUCGCGAGCAAACUCCUCUGCGAUAUCCAAUGCUAGCUCCCCGUGCAACGCCUUGCAAUACAUAUACAACACGACACUCGCUGCAAUGUUCUGAAGCAUCAGGAGAGUAGCGAAGCCCGAACUCACCACCAUCUGCAAUAUCACCCCAAAGCUUGUCCACCCACCACUAGCAGCUCCUACACUCACCAGAAAACUUGAACAACCACCCACUAACAAUCCAAUCAGAACCCCGAAAAAUAGCAACACUGACAACGCCACCCAUCUCAUCCCCUUCACCAAAUAAGCACUUCUUCGCAAUGCUUGGUAACCCCAUUUCGAUUCCACAACUACAAUCACAUAAGCUAAUGACCAAUUAACCUGCAACCACAUAACAACCAAUACAACAAGUACACCUACAAAAACACCCAAACCCAUUAAGUAAUUCGAAUCGUAACCCACUUCAAACCCAAGAAACUGCACACCCUGCACCACAAUCACCGCCAAUAGCCCAAACAGUAAAACAAUCAAAGCAUAAAUGACACGCGAAACGAUAAGGGUGGCAAUUAGAGGCAAGAAAGAGUACAAAACCGACUUCAUAGACGAAACAAGCUUGACGGGUCUUCCAUAAAAUCCAUGGAAAGUACUGUAGCUGAUUGUAGCCAACGCCAAAAGAGACAGAACAGAAGCUAAAAGGGUGUACACAAGGAGAAGAAGAAGGGACUGGGAAUCCGGUUGGGUCAGAUUCCGAAUCGGGUCAUAUGGGUCAGUGGAGGUGAAGAAGGAGAAGGAAAGGUGAGAUGGGUGUCGGUUAAAAAGGUUGGAAUCGGAGUGAAAGAGAGCGGUUUGAAGAGUAGGAUAGAUGAUGAGAGAAAAAGAGAGAGGCAAAAGGAAGGAAACUGAAAGGGCUAAGAAAUGGCGUGAGUGAGCAUUGAUUAUCCGCUUUGAUUGGGAAAGUACUCCCCAGAGAUUAAGGGUGUGUGGAUAACCAGACAUUGAAGAUGAUGAUGAAGAAACCAAAGAGAUGAUGAGAAAAACUAGUCUCUGUUUUUGUGAUUUGGGGCUUUUUUCCCUUUUCUUGAAUUUUUCAGGAUUGAUGUGAAGGAGGAGACAAGUGGCAAUAAGGU